rnacentral:rRNA from 1 species
AUUGAACGCUGGCGGCAGGCCUAACACAUGCAAGUCGAGCGGAUGAAGGGAGCUUGCUCCUGGAUUCAGCGGCGGACGGGGGAGUAAUGCCUAGGAAUCUGCCUGGUAGGGGGGGAUAACGUCCGGAAACGGGCGCUAAUACCGCAUACGUCCUGAUGGAGAAAGAGGGGGAUCUUCGGACCUCACGCUAUCAGAUGAGCCUAGGUCGGAUUAGCUAGUUGGUGGGGUAAAGGCCUACCAAGGCGAGGAUCCGUAACUGGUGGGAGAGGAUGGUCAGUCACACUGGAACGGAGACACGGUCCAGACUCCUACGGUAGGCAGCAGUGGGGUAUAUUGGACAAUGGGCGGAAGUCUGAUCCAGUCAUGACGCGUGUGUUAAGAAGGUCUUCGGAUUGUAAAGCACUUUAAGUUGGGAGGAAGGGCAGUAAGUUAAUACCUUGCUGUUUUGACGUUACCAACAGAAUAAGCACCGGCUAACUUCGUG